UACGUAGGGGGCUAGCGUUGUCCGGAUUUAUUGGGCGUAAAGAGCGUGUAGGCGGCCAGGUAGGUCUGCUGUGAAAACUCGAGGCUCAACCUCGAGACGUCGGCGGAAACCAUCUGGCUAGAGUCCGGAAGAGGAGAGUGGAAUUCCUGGUGUAGCGGUGAAAUGCGUAGAUAUCGGAAGGAACAUCAGUGGCGAAAGCGACUUCCUGGACCAAUACUGACGCUCAUGUGCGAAAGCGUGGGGAGCAAACAGG
rnacentral:rRNA from 1 species